AAUAGAUACCCCGGUAGUCCAUGCCGUAAACGUUGGGCACUAGGUGUGGGGUCCAUUCCACGGAUUCCGUGCCGCAGCUAACGCAUUAAGUGCCCCGCCUGGGGAGUACGGCCGCAAGGCUAAAACUCAAAGAAAUUGACGGGGGCCCGCACAAGCGGCGGAGCAUGCGGAUUAAUUCGAUGCAACGCGAAGAACCUUACCAAGGCUUGACAUACACCGGAAAAGUGCAGAGAUGUGCUCCCCGUAAGGUCGGUGUACAGGUGGUGCAUGGUUGUCGUCAGCUCGUGUCGUGAGAUGUUGGGUUAAGUCCCGCAACGAGCGCAACCCUCGUCCCAUGUUGCCAGCGGGUUAUGCCGGGGACUCAUGGGAGACUGCCGGGGUCAACUCGGAGGAAGGUGGGGAUGACGUCAAAUCAUCAUGCCCCUUAUGUCUUGGGCUUCACGCAUGCUACAAUGGCCGGUACAAAGGGCUGCGAUACCGCGAGGUGGAGCGAAUCCCAAAAAGCCGGUCUCAGUUCGGAUUGGGGUCUGCAACUCGACCCC
rnacentral:rRNA from 1 species